CUGAUGCAGCGACGCCGCGUGGAGGAAGAAGGUCUUCGGAUUGUAAACUCCUGUUGUUGGGGAAAAGAAGGAUGGUACCCAACAAGGAAGUGACGGCUAACUACGUG
rnacentral:rRNA from 1 species